AUAUGCUUGUCUCAAAGAUUAAGCCAUGCAUGUCUAAGUUCACACUGUCUCACGGUGAAACCGCGAAUGGCUCAUUAAAUCAGUCGAGGUUCCUUAGAUGACACGAUCCUACUUGGAUAACUGUGGCAAUUCUAGAGCUAAUACAUGCCUAUGAAGCUCCGACCCUCGUGGAAAGAGCGCUUUUAUUAGUUCAAAACCAAUCGCCGGUCGUCUUCGGGCGGCCGGUGUCCCCAUUGGUGACUCUGGAUAACUUUGUGCUGAUCGCAUGGCCUUCGUGCCGGCGACGCAUCUUUCAAAUGUCUGCCCUAUCAAAUGUCGAUGGUACGUGAUAUGCCUACCAUGUUUGUAACGGGUAACGGGGAAUCAGGGUUCGAUUCCGGAGAGGGAGCAUGAGAAACGGCUACCACAUCCAAGGAAGGCAGCAGGCGCGCAACUUACCCACUCCCGGCACGGGGAGGUAGUGACGAAAAAUAACAAUACGGGACUCUCUACGAGGCUCCGUAAUUGGAAUGAGUACACUUUAAACCCUUUAACGAGGAUCUAUUGGAGGGCAAGUCUGGUGCCAGCAGCCGCGGUAAUUCCAGCUCCAAUAGCGUAUAUUAAAGUUGUUGCAGUUAAAAAGCUCGUAGUUGGAUCUCAGGUGCAGGCGGACGGUCCGGCUCGCGCCGGUUCACUGUCCGUAUUUCCUGCCCUACUGGUCUGCCGGCUCUCUCCCGUGGGUGCUCUUCGCUGAGCGUCCCGGGUGGCCGGCGCGUUUACUUUGAAAAAAUUAGAGUGUUCAAAGCAGGCCUCGGCUGCCUGAAUAAUGGUGCAUGGAAUAAUGGAAUAGGACCUCGGUUCUAUUUUGUUGGUUUUCGGAACUGGAGGUAAUGAUUAAAAGGGACAAACGGGGGCAUUCGUAUUGCGGCGUUAGAGGUGAAAUUCUUGGAUCGCCGCAAGACGAGCUACUGCGAAAGCAUUUGUCAAGAAUGUUUUCAUUAAUCAAGAACGAAAGU
rnacentral:rRNA from 1 species